CUGCUGCCUCCCGUAGGAGUUUGGGCCGUGUCUCAGUCCCAAUGUGGCCGGUCGCCCUCUCAGGCCGGCUACUGAUCGUCGCCUUGGUGGGCCGUUACCUCACCAACUAGCUAAUCAGACGCGGGUCCAUCUCAUACCACCGGAGUUUUUCACACUCUGUCACUCGACAAUGUGCGCUUAUGCGGUUUUAGCAGUCAUUUCUAACUGUUAUCCCCCUGUAUGAGGCAGGUUACCCACGCGUUACUCACCCGUCCGCCG
rnacentral:rRNA from 1 species